AUAUGGGGGGACCAUCCUCCAAGGCUAAAUACUCCUGACUGACCGAUAGUGAACCAGUACCGUGAGGGAAAGGCGAAAAGAACCCCGGCGAGGGGAGUGAAAAAGAACCUGAAACCGUGUACGUACAAGCAGUGGGAGCACAGGUUUACCUGUGUGACUGCGUACCUUUUGUAUAAUGGGUCAGCGACUUAUAUUCUGUAGCAAGGUUAACCGAAUAGGGGAGCCGGAGGGAAACCGAGUCUUAAUUGGGCGUUAAGUUGCAGGGUAUAGACCCGAAACCCGGUGAUCUAGCCAUGGGCAGGUUGAAGGUUGGGUAACACUAACUGGAGGACCGAACCGACUAAUGUUGAAAAAUUAGCGGAUGACCUGUGGCUGGGGGUGAAAGGCCAAUCAAACCGGGAGAUAGCUGGUUCUCCCCGAAAGCUAUUUAGGUAGCGCCUCGUGAAUUCAUCUCCGGGGGUAGAGCACUGUUUCGGCUAGGGGGCCAUCCCGGCUUACCAACCCGAUGCAAACUGCGAAUACCGGAGAAUGUUAUCACGGGAGACACACGGCGGGUGCUAACGUCCGUCGUGAAGAGGGAAACAACCCAGACCGCCAGCUAAGGUCCCAAAGUCAUGGUUAAGUGGGAAACGAUGUGGGAAGGCCCAGACAGCCAGGAUGUUGGCUUAGAAGCAGCCAUCAUUUAAAGAAAGCGUAAUAGCUCACUGGUCGAGUCGGCCUGCGCGGAAGAUGUAACGGGGCUAAACCAUG
rnacentral:rRNA from 1 species